rnacentral:rRNA from 1 species
UAUGUGAUCGUCUCUCGCAUAUCAAUAAGCGGAGGAAAAGAAACUAACAAGGAUUCCCCUAGUAACGGCGAGUGAAGCGGGAAGAGCUCAAAUUUGAAAUCUUAAAGGGUUUCCCUUUACGAAUUGUAGUUUAAAGAAGUGUUUUCUGUUGAGGUUUUGGUAAAAGUUCUUUGGAAUAGGACAUCAUAGAGGGUGAGAAUCCCGUAUUUGACCUUUACUUUCAACUUUGUGAUACACUUUCAAAGAGUCGGAUUGUUUGGGAAUGCAGUCCAAAAUGGGUGGUAAAUUUCAUCUAAAGCUAAAUAUUGGCGAGAGACCGAUAGCGAACAAGUACCGUGAGGGAAAGAUGAAAAGAACUUUGAAAAGAGAGUUAAACAGUACGUGAAAUUGUCAAAAGGGAAGCGUUUGACACCAGUGUUGUUUUUCUGAGAAUCAAUUAAAGAACUGUAUAUGCUAAGCUGUUUAGACUUUAUCAGCUAAUCUGUUUAGUUUUGAGCUUUUCUUUAAUGCACUUUUCAGUUAACAAGUCAACAUCAAUUUCUUUUGCUGUAAAAAAGCUUGAGGAAGGUGGCUUGAGAUUCGUCUUAAGUGUUUAUAGCCUCUUGCCUAUGCAGUCGGAGAGAUUGAGGUCUGCAGCGUAGAUCCUUCGGGGCUAAAUGCAUUUGUGCUAAGUUAUAGCAUUUUAUAGACAACUUGUUGACUAUGAUUUGUCUUGUAGCUUACUCGCUUAUGUUAUUUUACCUACGCUUAGGAUGUUGAGUAGCGACAUACGCAC